rnacentral:rRNA from 1 species
AUUGAACGCUGGCAGCAGGCUUAACACAUGCAAGUCGAGCGGGGGGAGGUAGCUUGCUACCGGACCUAGCGGCGGACGGGUGAGUAAUGCUUAGGAAUCUGCCUAUUAGUGGGGGACAACAUCUCGAAAGGGAUGCUAAUACCGCAUACGUCCUACGGGAGAAAGCAGGGGAUCUUCGGACCUUGCGCUAAUAGAUGAGCCUAAGUCGGAUUAGCUAGUUGGUGGGGUAAAGGCCUACCAAGGCGACGAUCUGUAGCGGGUCUGAGAGGAUGAUCCGCCACACUGGGACUGAGACACGGCCCAGACUCCUACGGGAGGCAGCAGUGGGGAAUAUUGGACAAUGGGGGGAACCCUGAUCCAGCCAUGCCGCGUGUGUGAAGAAGGCCUUAUGGUUGUAAAGCACUUUAAGCGAGGAGGAGGCUACUCUAGUUAAUACCUAGGGAUAGUGGACGUUACUCGCAGAAUAAGCACCGGCUAACUCUGUGCCAGCCGCCGCGGUAA